rnacentral:rRNA from 1 species
CAGGCCUAACACAUGCAAGUCGAGCGGUAGAGAGAAGCUUGCUUCUCUUGAGAGCGGCGGACGGGUGAGUAAUGCCUAGGAAUCUGCCUGGUAGUGGGGGAUAACGUUCGGAAACGGACGCUAAUACCGCAUACGUCCUACGGGAGAAAGCAGGGGACCUUCGGGCCUUGCGCUAUCAGAUGAGCCUAGGUCGGAUUAGCUAGUUGGUGGGGUAAUGGCUCACCAAGGCGACGAUCCGUAACUGGUCUGAGAGGAUGAUCAGUCACACUGGAACUGAGACACGGUCCAGACUCCUACGGGAGGCAGCAGUGGGGAAUAUUGGACAAUGGGCGAAAGCCUGAUCCAGCCAUGCCGCGUGUGUGAAGAAGGUCUUCGGAUUGUAAAGCACUUUAAGUUGGGAGGAAGGGCAGUUACCUAAUACGUAAUUGUUUUGACGUUACCGACAGAAUAAGCACCGGCUAACUCUGUGCCAGCAGCCGCGGUAAUACAGAGGGUGCAAGCGUUAAUCGGAAUUACUGGGCGUAAAGCGCGCGUAGGUGGUUUGUUAAGUUGGAUGUGAAAUCCCCGGGCUCAACCUGGGAACUGCAUUCAAAACUGACUGACUAGAGUAUGGUAGAGGGUGGUGGAAUUUCCUGUGUAGCGGUGAAAUGCGUAGAUAUAGGAAGGAACACCAGUGGCGAAGGCGACCACCUGGACUAAUACUGACACUGAGGUGCGAAAGCGUGGGGAGCAAACAGGAUUAGAUACCCUGGUAGUCCACGCCGUAAACGAUGUCAACUAGCCGUUGGAAGCCUUGAGCUUUUAGUGGCGCAGCUAACGCAUUAAGUUGACCGCCUGGGGAGUACGGCCGCAAGGUUAAAAC